rnacentral:rRNA from 2 species
UGUUGACCUCGGAUCAGGUAGGAAUACCCGCUGAACUUAAG